AAGCUACAUAUCCCGACUGGCUUGCCAAUGUGGUAAUGGUAAGAAAAGUCAAUAGAAAGUGAAAGAUCUGCAACGACUAUAUCGAUUUGAAUAUAGCUUGUCCGAAGGAUAGCUUCUUAUUGUCGAAGAUUGACCAAGAUUAAUGUGACUUCUGACCAUCGACUUUUAAGUUUCAUGGAUAUCUUCGCUGGAUAUAAUCAAAUCCAUAUGGCAC
rnacentral:lncRNA from 1 species